rnacentral:rRNA from 1 species
UGCGGACAUUACCGAGUUUACACUCCCAACCCAAUGUGAACGUUACCAAACUGUUGCCUCGGCGGGAUCUCUGCCCCGGGUGCGUCGCAGCCCCGGACCAAGGCGCCCGCCGGAGGACCAACCAAAACUCUUAUUGUAUACCCCCUCGCGGGUUUUUUUAUAAUCUGAGCCUUCUCGGCGCCUCUCGUAGGCGUUUCGAAAAUGAAUCAAAACUUUCAACAACGGAUCUCUUGGUUCUGGCAUCGAUGAAGAACGCAGCGAAAUGCGAUAAGUAAUGUGAAUUGCAGAAUUCAGUGAAUCAUCGAAUCUUUGAACGCACAUUGCGCCCGCCAGUAUUCUGGCGGGCAUGCCUGUCCGAGCGUCAUUUCAACCCUCGAACCCCUCCGGGGGGUCGGCGUUGGGGAUCGGCCCUGCCUUGGCGGUGGCCGUCUCCGAAAUACAGUGGCGGUCUCGCCGCAGCCUCUCCUGCGCAGUAGUUUGCACACUCGCAUCGGGAGCGCGGCGCGUCCACAGCCGUUAAACACCCAACUUCUGAAAUGUUGACCUCGGAUCAGGUAGGAAUACCCGCUGAACUUAAGCAUAUCAAUUAAGGCGGAGGAAA